UCAUGCAUUCGGUCUGUGCACGUUAUUUGAUGGAAUUGUAUCGUUUCGGUAAUCUUUUCGUGUACUCCCGUGACCCGAGUGCUCAACUCAAAGCCGUCAGUAUCGCAUCGUAGUACAAGUGUUUUCUUUUCAUAGUAUACGAGCUAUAUAUAUAGUUAAUAAUUAUGGAAAUAAUCUCAGACAAAAUGCUGGCAGAAACAGCACACAUAUUAGACGAAGAUAAUGAUAAUGAUCUACGGAAUACAUUUCGUCAACAAUUUGCUAAUGAAAACAAUGAGGAAAAUGAGUCCACGGUAAAAAAUCAUAUGGACUAAUUUAUAAAAAAAUAUUGAAACGGAACUACGAUGCAAUAUUUGUUUUGAAAUAUUUACUGAGCUAACUGUUUUUAACUAUUCUCGCAUGUUUUUCAAUCAAUGUAUUGAAACAUGGACCAAGAGUGUUAAUAAAUGUCCAUUACGUCGAAAACUAGUGAAAAAUAAUACUUUUUAUGUCAUUAGAUCCGUUUUUAAAUAAAAUAAUUCCAUGUUUACCAAAUGAAAUAAGGGCAUGGCGUGAAUCACCAAAAGCAAAACAAAAGAUGAUAAAAUUAAUGUAAAUAUAUGAAGAAAUAAUGGAAAUAAUAUUAUUCACUGACCAAUAUUGGACUAACGUGAAGAUAGAAUGUGAAAUAUUACGCCUAAUGCAAAUAUUUUGUUUUAGUUAUUGUAAAUAUUUCAAUACAUUCUUUAAUCCACUUAUCAGUAAAAACGAAAAUAUUUACUUUUUGUAUCAGUCUCGGUCUUUCAAUGCCCUCCCUUUUUCUAUCCCCCUGUCUGCCCUAAUAUAAUGUUGAAGCAUUUUUUUUUUUUUUUUUAAUUGUAAAACUUAGAUUA